UACGGGGGGGGCAAGCGUUGUUCGGAAUUACUGGGCGUAAAGGGCUCGUAGGCGGUCAACUAAGUCAGACGUGAAAUCCCCAGGCUCAACCUGGGAACUGCGUCUGAUACUGGAUGGCUUGAAUCCGGGAGAGGGAUGCAGAAUUCCAGGUGUAGCGGUGAAAUGCGUAGAUAUCUGGAGGAAUACCGGUGGCGAAGGCGGCAUCCUGGACCGGCAUUGACGCUGAGGAGCGAAAGCCAGGGGAGCAAACGGG
rnacentral:rRNA from 1 species